CAUAUCAAUAAGCGGAGGAAAAGAAACCAACAGGGAUUGCCCUAGUAACGGCGAGUGAAGCGGCAACAGCUCAAAUUUGAAAUCUGGCUCUUUUAGGGUCCGAGUUGUAAUUUGCAGAGGGCGCUUUGGCAUUGGCAGCGGUCCAAGUUCUUUGGAACAGGACGUCACAGAGGGUGAGAAUCCCGUACGUGGUCGCUAGCCCUUGCCGUGUAAAGCCCCUUCGACGAGUCGAGUUGUUUGGGAAUGCAGCUCUAAAUGGGAGGUAAAUUUCUUCUAAAGCUAAAUACUGGCCAGAGACCGAUAGCGCACAAGUAGAGUGAUCGAAAGAUGAAAAGCACUUUGGAAAGAGAGUCAAAUAGCACGUGAAAUUGUUGAAAGGGAAGCGCUUGCAGCCAGACUUGCCUGUAGUUGCUUAUCCGGACUUUUGUCCGGUGCACUCUUCUGCGGGCAGGCCAGCAUCAGUUUGGGCGGUUGGAUAAAGGUCUCUGUCAUGUACCUCUCUUCGGGGAGGCCUUAUAGGGGAGGCGACAUGCAACCAGCCCGGACUGAGGUCCGCGCAUCUGCUAGGAUGCUGGCGUAAUGGCUGUAAGCGGCCCGUCUUGAAACACGGACCAAGGAGUCUAACAUCUAUGCGAGUGUUUGGGUGUCAAGCCCAGACGCGUAAUGAAAGUGAACGGAGGUGGGAACCUUUUAGGUGCACCAUCGACCGAUCCUGAUGUCUUCGGAAGGAUUUGAGUAAGAGCAUGGCUGUUGGGACCCGAAAGAUGGUGAACUAUGCUUGAAUAGGGUGAAGCCAGAGGAAACUCUGGUGGAGGCUCGCAGCGGUUCUGACGUGCAAAUCGAUCGUCAAAUUUGGGCAUAGGGGCGAAAGACUAAUCGAAC
rnacentral:rRNA from 1 species